CUUCCCCCAGACUUCUUUGCAAAGCUGGGGGAAGCAGGAGUCUCUGUAUUUGCUCCUAUUCCUGGGUCCAGGGAGGUGACCCCAGACCUUUGUGGGUGGACUCCUUCUGAUCCGCCAGUUCCUCCUGCCCAGGUCGAUUCCGAGCGGCUGUGCCAAGCGGAGCUUCCACGGGUAUCUAUGAAGCACUGGAGCUACGAGAUGGAGACAAAUCACGAUACCUGGGGAAAGGAGUGCUGAAGGCUGUGGAGCACAUCAACAAGACUCUCGGCCCUGCUCUGCUGGAAAAGAAACUAAGUGUUGUGGAUCAAGAAAAAGUUGACAAAUUUAUGAUUGAGCUGGACGGAACCGAGAAUAAGUCCAAGUUUGGGGCCAAUGCCAUCCUGGGUGUGUCCCUGGCUGUUUGUAAGGCUGGAGCAGCUGAGAAAGGGGUCCCUCUCUACCGACACAUUGCAGACCUCGCAGGGAAUCCCGACCUU
rnacentral:lncRNA from 1 species